rnacentral:rRNA from 1 species
UACGAAGGGUGCAAACGUUGCUCGGAAUUAUUGGGCGUAAAGGGUGCGUAGGCGGUUUGAUAAGUCAUCUGUGAAAUCUCUGGGCUCAACCCAGAGUCUGCAGGCGAAACUGCCGUGCUGGAGUGUGGGAGAGGUGCGUGGAAUUCCUGGUGUAGCGGUGAAAUGCGUAGAUAUCAGGAGGAACACCUGUGGCGAAAGCGGCGCACUGGACCAACAACUGACGCUGAGGCGCGAAAGCUAGGGGAGCAAACAGG